UACAUAAUUAUGGAAUUCAGUGCACAGGAACCACAGGAAGUUUCAUCAUGUGUUACGACCUAGUAACAAGAAUAAUGAUACGGGAGAAGUCUCGGACCUCGACCAAUGUCAUUUAUUCUCACACUCCCCCAAUUCUGAUCUCAAUCACACACCAAGUUUUCCUAUGAUAAGCCUUCAUAAGAAACGUUCGUCAAUCAGUAGUUCAAAAUUUCAUGUUUUACUAUUUCAAGGAAUUCACUCUGAGGGUUAACAAAUUCGCUAAGAAUCCUAUCAUGGCCCAGGGUUUUACCUAAGGGUUCAAUGGAUCUAUUAUAAGGCGAAACCUUCACAGCUGUCCUCACGAGUUUCCUCUAGAAUUAAAUUUCGGGACGAAAUUUCCUAAAGUAGGGGAGACUGUGACACCUGUGUCACUCCAACCAUCAAACAAAUGCCAAACCAAGGAAAUAUUGUAUUUCAUACUUGGGAUUUGUAUAAAUAUGUGUAUGCUUUGCACAUAUCAAUUCUUGUUCAAUUUCAUACUCUACAACGCUUUCUGGAGAAUUAUACGCAAACUGGUGCAUAAACGUACUCAGUUUAAUGCGACAAAUACUCCGGGAGACCAUCAUACACUUAACAUACCUUAAAUAACCUUUACAUAACUUAGAAAUAAGUUUUGAAGGCUUUGGUAUGGCAAAAACAAGUUAAUUCGCUUACAGGGACUAAACUUGACAAACUGCGAAAGUAUGCCAAUUUGAACUGUAACGAACAUUCCGGAACAUGUCCAUAAGUUAAACAUACCAUAUAUAUCCUUUACACAGCUUAGAAAUAGGCUUUGAGGGGUUUGGUAUGCUAAAACAAACUUUUGGAUCAUUCAGGGACUAAAAGUGUCAAAAAGUGCAUAAGUUUGCACUUUCGCGCAUAACUCACGUUCUGAAUACAUCCGGACAUCCAAAAAUUUAUGUAAGCAUCCUAAUAUUAUGCCUUAGUGUUUGGCAUGAGAAAAAUCCAUUCGUCGCGUCAUUUGGAUCGUCUUUCACGCUUAUGCGCAUUCCGUCGUAAUUAAGCGAACAUCGCGAUCAUACGGCCAAACGAACCGACAUCCGACAUAUUUUUGGGCAUGUUUCAUGUCCACAAUGUUUAGGCAUCAUUUUAGGGCCUUAAAGAUGACUUUACAGGUCUUAGAAGGGCUGGAAAUAGCUUAAACACGCAACAGGGACCAAAAGUGUAAAUUCUGCAAGUGGUGCAGAUCAGAGGGGCCAGGCGGCCCGCGUAAAGAUUGCCCAAAACAUGAGGCGGGCCGCGUGAACAUGUCUGACAGAAGAUUUUGCAUUUAAUGCAGAAUCUGGCCUUUCGUUCGAUCAAGGGGCGAUGCCUUUUCACCCAACGAAGAGCCAAGGGUCAAGUUCACUGAACUUAUCCACUUGGACACAUGUACGCACGAGAUCAAGGCACGAUAUUCGAUAAAACGAUCCUAACGGUUCCACUUUUCCUAUAAAUACCCCCCCCCCUUUAGUGUAAAAUUCACAAAAUCAGAUCUUAGAGCUCUAAGUUGAAACCAUUGUUUCAUACCUGAGCUAUUUGGUCUUGAUUAGCACUCGGGGACCCUCCGUAAGUCUUCUUUCGCUCUUUUAUUCGCUUUUCGAGUCCGAAAGUCAACGUUUUGUUGACUUUCUGCAUUGACCAGCUUUUGGUCAAUGUGAAGUUCAUGGAACUUCAUAACGUGAGCGUGAUCACGAUGGUUAUGGUCCAUAGUGACCAUACCUACUGAUUACCACGUUAUCUAGGCUCAGUGACGAGUCGUAGUUUCGGCCAAAAUGCGCAUUCUUGCGUAUUUUGUAACCAAACUACUCGUGGGCAUCAAAGCCGUUUGUUUUGAUGCCAAACCUGUUUCUAAACUUAGUUAAGCAUGUUCUAACAUGCUUAGCUCGUCACUUUUAGUUUAGUGCUUAUAUAGGGUCGUAAGGUAAGCGAUUUAAACCAUCGCUUAUACUUUCGAACCCGACCCAUUUGGUCGGUCAUUAGGACCCGACCAAACACAUUUGGUGACCAUAGCUAUAACCUUCCGAGGUUAUACCGUGUGGUCGCAAUGUUAGGCGUUCCGAACGCGUUCUACGCGAACGACGCGUUAGGGUAGCAUAAACUACCUAAACGGGUCGUGAUGGACCGUAAGCACUUAGAUUAGGUUUCAUUUUAGUAUGUAGGCUUUGCUAAGCCAUAUUACAUGAGUCUCCAUACUCGUUUGGUUUACGAACCCGCGUACUGUCCGAUCCUUCCGAUUUGGUCCGGUAUAUUAACAUAAGCUACCUAUUAGGUGCCGUUGAUAUUCCGUAAUUUUUAGCAUUAUCCGGUUAUUAUAUAAGGAAUCCAAAGCAAUCUCAGAUAACAGAACGAGUGUAAUGUGAUGAAAACAUGGUAGAUACGCCGCUGGUGCUGUCUUGAGAUGAUUGUUGAUGCAUGCUACAUUUAGGAUGGACUCGUGCCUUAGCAACUUUAAAACUUGGAAGAUCAUAGUUGUACUUAUGUGAUUGUAAUAGAACAACGAGUUCAUUUAAUCAAUAAAACAAUAUU
rnacentral:lncRNA from 1 species